rnacentral:rRNA from 1 species
GACGAACGCUGGCGGCGCGCCUAACACAUGCAAGUCGAACGAGCGAGCGAGAGCUUGCUUUCUCGAGCGAGUGGCGAACGGGUGAGUAACGCGUGAGGAACCUGCCUCAAAGAGGGGGACAACAGUUGGAAACGACUGCUAAUACCGCAUAAGCCCACGGCUCGGCAUCGAGCCGGGGGAAAAGGAGCAAUCCGCUUUGAGAUGGCCUCGCGUCCGAUUAGCUAGUUGGUGAGGUCACGGCCCACCAAGGCGACGAUCGGUAGCCGGACGGAGAGGUUGAACGGCGACAUUUGGACUGGGACGCGGCCCAGACUCCUACGGGAGGCAGCAGUGGGGAAUAUUGCAAAAUGGGGGAAACGCUGAUGCAGCGACGCCGCGUGGAGGAAGAAGGUCUUCGGAUUGUAAACUCCUGUUGUUGGGGAAGAUAAUGACGGUACCCAACAAGGAAGAGACGGCUAACUACGUG